ACCUAAGGUAAAGGUAAUAUAGCUGCUUAUAAGUGUUACACCAAAGCAUACACACAUCAAUAACAUUUUCUACUCAUAUUUUGUCAAUAAUGUAUUUUUUCCAGAGCCAGAGCCCCCUAAAGAAAAAGUCAAGAAGCAAGGUAACAAUUUGUACAGUUAAGCUGUAUCAUUGCUUUCUGUAUUUGAAUACAGUUAUUAUCUCUUGCCUUGUAUUCUAGACGCUGUUGUGUCCAAAGAGAAGGUCAAACCAGCUGUUGUAAAGAAAGGUACAGAUUUUGUAUUGCAUUAUUAAUAACAUACUGCAUGCUUGACUUUUAUUGGAAAAUAUUGAGCAUUUGAUGAUAUUGUCAUUCCAGAAGCUGUUGUCUCCAAAGAAAAGACAAAACCUACCACAAUGAAGAAAGGUACUUUGUUGCAUGUUGUAAUAAUAUUACACGUAACAUUAGCUCGCGAGCUAAUGUUAGCUAGCUAAUAGUAUACUUUAACUUGAAAUGUAAAUGCACUCAACGGUAAGGGUUUCAGUGUUAGAAGUUACCUAAGAAGUUACCUAAGGUAAAGGUAAUAUAGCUGCUUGUAAGUGUUACACCAAAGCAUACACACAUCAAUAAGAUUUUCUUCUGAUAUUUGUCAAUAAUGUAUUUUUUCCAGAGCCAGAGCCCCCUAAAGAAAAAGUUAAGAAGCAAGGUAACAAUUUGUACAGUUAAGCUGUAUCAUUGCUUUCUGUAUUUGAAUACAGUUACAUAGUUUAUAUCUCUUGCCUUGUAUUCUAGAUGCUGUUGUGUCCAAAGAGAAGGUCAAACCAGCUGUUGUAAAGAAAGGUACAGAUUUUGUAGUGCAUUAUUAAUAACAUACUGCAUGCUUGACUUUUAUUUGAAAAUGUUGAGCAUUUGAUGAUGUUGUCAUUCCAGAAGCUGUUGUCUCCAAAGGAAGGACCAAACCUACCGCAAUUAAGAAAGAGGUUGUUGUUUCCAAAGAUAAAGCUAAAACAACAGCUGCCAAGAAAGAGCCUGUGGAAAAGGACAAAAUAACUCCUACGAAGAAAGAGCCAGCAAUCUCCAAAGAAAAAGUCAAGACAAGCACUACCAAGACAACCACAAGCACUUCCAAGAAAGUUGUUUCAGAACCUGAGCCCCUAAAAGAGAAAACUACUCCAAGAAUCCCCACUAUGAGGAAAGGUAACCACACAAAUGUAGUGGUGCCAAUGGUAAAAGCCAUGGGAAGAGUUGUCGCUAUAAGACCCAUCCCUACAACAAAAGCUCCUGCAGUGAAGGAGGAGAAGCUAUCCAAGGAACCUGAGACAGCAAAAGAGAAACCAAAAGCGUCAGAGAAAAAAGGUGCGAAUGAUUUGACUGUGUUUUGAGUGGAUUUAUGUCCAGACAUUUUAUACAUGUUUUCCUUUUAGAGUUGUUCAGUGGGUGACUAAGUGUUUGGUCUGUAUUCUUGUUUCAGAGGUUGUUGUUUCCAAAGAUAAAGCUAAAACAACAGCUGCCAAGAAAGGUAAUGAAUAUAUUUAGUUGCUAUAGGAUUCUCAAUGCAACGUUGAGCUGUAUGAAUACUGUUUCAUUGUUUCAGAACCUGUGGAAAAGGACAAAAUAACACCUACGAAGAAAGGUAACAAAUCAAAUCAAAUGUAUUUAUACAGCCAUUCUUACAUCAGCUGAUAUCUCAAAGUGCUGUACAGAAACCCAGCCUAAAACCCCAAACAGCAAGCAAUGCAGGUGUAGAAGCACAGUGGCUAGGAAAAACUCCCUAGAAAGGCCAAAACCUAGGAAGAAACCUAGAGAGGAACCAGGCUAUUAGGGGUGGCCAGUCCUCUUCUGGCUGUGCCGGGUGGAGAUUAUAACAUCACAUGGCCAAGAUGUUCAAAUGUUCAUAAAUGACCAGCAUGGUAAAAUAAUAAUAAUCAUAGUAGUUGUUGAGGGUGCAACAAGUCAGUAACACAAGAGUAAGUGUCAGUUGGCUUUUUUAUAGCCAUAACAACAACUUAGAUCAAGUUAUUCCAGUUGAUGAAUUAACAUAUAUUCUAACUGUGGAUAUAUUAUGGUUUUAGAGCCUGCAAUCUCCAAAGAAAAAGUCAAGACGAGCACUACCGAGACAACCACAAGCACUUCCAAGAAAGGUAAUAGUGUAUUUCACAAAUGUUAACUUGAGUAGAUGCUUACUAUUAGUUGUAGUUAAAAGCUUGUGGUUUUGUAGUGCAUUAUUAAUAACAUAACUGCAUGCUUGACUUUUAUUGGAAAAUAUUGAGCAUGAUGUUGUCAUUCCAGAAGCUGUUGUCUCCAAAGAAAAGACAAAACUUACCACAAUGAAGAAAGGUACUUUAUUGCAUGAUGUAAUAAUAUUACACAUAACAAUAGCUCACGAGCCAGCCAGCCAGCUAGCAUGUUCUAGCUAGCUAGUAGUACACUUUAACUUCAAUGAAAACGACUUUCUGACAAAAUUUAAAAAUGUGCAAUAUCUGAAAAUGUAGCUAGCUAGACUACCUUACCCGUAUACAUGGAUGGACGUUUCUCCCUCUCUGUCAUGGAUGCCAUGGUUGCCCUUAGUUUGAAGAUGU
rnacentral:lncRNA from 8 species